UGCAGUCGAGCGAACAGACGAAGUACUUGUACUUCUGACGUUAGCGGCGGACGGGUGAGUAACACGUAAGGAAUCUACCUAUAAGCGGGGGAUAACAUUCGGAAACGGAUGCUAAUACCGCAUAACAUUUACUUCCGCAUGGAAGUAAAUUGAAAGACGGCUCUGCUGUCACUUAUAGAUGACCUUGCGGUGCAUUAGUUAGUUGGUGGGGUAAUGGCCUACCAAGACGAUGAUGCAUAGCCGACCUGAGAGGGUGAUCGGCCACAUUGGGACUGAGACACGGCCCAAACUCCUACGGGAGGCAGCAGUAGGGAAUCUUCCGCAAUGGGCGAAAGCCUGACGGAGCAAUGCCGCGUGAGUGAAGAAGGCCUUCGGGUCGUAAAACUCUGUUAUAAGAGAAGAACAAAUUGUAGAGUAACUGCUACAGUCUUGACGGUAUCUUAUCAGAAAGCCACGGCUAACUACGUGCCAGCAGCCGCGGUAAUACGUAGGUGGCAAGCGUUGUCCGGAUUUAUUGGGCGUAAAGGGAGCGCAGGUGGUUUCUUAAGUCUGAUGUGAAAGCCCACGGCUCAACCGUGGAGGGUCAUUGGAAACUGGGGAACUUGAGUACAGAAGAGGAAUGUGGAACUCCAUGUGUAGCGGUGGAAUGCGUAGAUAUAUGGAAGAACACCAGUGGCGAAGGCGACAUUCUGGUCUGUUACUGACACUGAGGCUCGAAAGCGUGGGGAGCAAACAGGAUUAGAUACCCUGGUAGUCCACGCCGUAAACGAUGAGUGCUA
rnacentral:rRNA from 1 species